rnacentral:rRNA from 1 species
UACGUAGGGUGCGAGCGUUAUUCGGAAUUACUGGGCGUAAAGCGUGCGCAGGCGGUUUUGUAAGUCCGAUGUGAAAUCCCCGGGCUUAACCUGGGAAUUGCAUUUGGGACUGCAAGGCUUGAGUGCGGCAGAGGGGGAUGGAAUUCCGCGUGUAGCAGUGAAAUGCGUAGAUAUGCGGAGGAACACCGAUGGCGGAGGCAAUCCCCUGGGCCUGCACUGACGCUCAUGCACGAAAGCGUGGGGAGCAAACAGG